rnacentral:lncRNA from 1 species
UACUGAGUCCAAAUUUGAUAGGCAAUUAGGCAUCAAAGUCCAUCGAUAUGAAACCUUGAUCGAAGAGUCCCAAACCAGUGGGACUCUUGACCCCGGUAUCCAAAAUGUAUGGAACUCGUGAUCAGAGAAUCUUGAUUCUCAAUCAUAGAGUUUUCGAGCAUUAGGACUCUUGGUCGAAGAGUUUCAAUCUAGUGAGACUCUUCACCAGCCAUCAGAUCAGAUAGGAACCUCUAAUGUGUGUGACUCUGCAGGUUCGAACCUAAGCCGGUAGCACAGGAACCAAUUUUUGUACUAAUCGAAGUGACCAUCUAGCAAUGGUACCCGAUAUCUGGAU